AACGAACGCUGGCGGCAUGCCUAACACAUGCAAGUCGAACGAGACCUUCGGGUCUAGUGGCGCACGGGUGCGUAACGCGUGGGAACCUGCCCUUAGGUUCGGAAUAACUCCCCGAAAGGGGUGCUAAUACCGGAUAAUGUCUUCGCACCAAAGAUUUAUCGCCUUUGGAUGGGCCCGCGUUGGAUUAGCUAGUUGGUAGGGUAAAAGCCUACCAAGGCGACGAUCCAUAGCUGGUCUGAGAGGAUGAUAGCCACACUGGGACUGAGACACGGCCCAGACUCCUACGGGAAGCAGCAGUGGGGAAUAUUGGACAAUGGGCGAAAGCCUGAUCCAGCAAUGCCGCGUGAGUGAUGAAGGCCUUAGGGUUGUAAAGCUCUUUUACCCGGGAUGAUAAUGACAGUACCGGGAGAAUAAGCUCCGGCUAACUCCGUG
rnacentral:rRNA from 1 species